rnacentral:lncRNA from 1 species
CACCUUGGAAGAAGAAAUCCACAGGAGGAAAAAAAAAAAAAUUCUCAAACUACAGGAAGUGGAGAGAACAGUACAGUGACCCUACACGCUUGUUACCAGCCUCACCUGUCACCCACAUGGAGUCCUUCCCAUUUGUGGGGUUUCCAGGAUUUGCUGAGCACCUACUAUGCAUCAGACAUUGUGUUCUAGGUAAGGGGGAUACACCUGAUGGAAGAAGGUGCUUCCCUAGAUGUAGCUAACAUCCCAGUGUGGGAGAUGACAAGAAACAGCAAACUCCCCACAACAGCCUCCUCAACGCUGCCUCCCACAGUGCUUCGACAAAAUAAUUACAGCAAGAAGCGGGCA